UACGAAGGGGGCUAGCGUUGUUCGGAUUUACUGGGCGUAAAGCGCACGUAGGCGGAUCGUUAAGUCGGGGGUGAAAUCCUGGAGCUCAACUCCAGAACUGCCUUCGAUACUGGCGAUCUUGAGUCCGGAAGAGGUGAGUGGAACUCCUAGCGUAGAGGUGGAAUUCGUAGAUAUUAGGAAGAACACCAGUGGCGAAGGCGGCUCGCUGGUCCGGUACUGACGCUGAGGUGCGAAAGCGUGGGGAGCAAACAGG
rnacentral:rRNA from 1 species